CGCCUUGCAUGUGUAUUAAGCAGCUUUCAUCUGGGGAGCUCCUAGCUGCUGGGAGGCUAAUUAGCUGCUUUCUGGGAAGAGACCUCUUCAAAAGAACCCUCUUCUCGGGCUGCUAAUGAAAGUCACCGUCUGUGCAAGGCCUCGCCAAGCUCCUUCUGUCCACUGAACGCGCCCAUGUGCGCCAAGCACUGGGUGCGGGCUGUGGUGAGCCCAUGACACCACGGUCCCCAUUACAGAGCUGUGCUCUUCGCUGGCGUAAGACCGUGGCUUCCUCGCGCGACCUCGUGUAAUUGAUGAGAAACCCUUAGCUCAGUGUCUUGCGUGGAACAAACAGUCGAUAGGUGAUAGCUAUUACUAUUCAUCUUCAGAAUAACCCUCUGAGGUAAGUGCUAUGUUAUCUCCAUUUCUCAGCUGAAGAAGUUGAAGUUCGGAGAGGUGAAGCCACUUGCCAGAGAUCACACAGUGAGUGAGGAGAAGAGCCAGGAUUUGAACUGGAUUGGUUGAACGUCAAAGCUGCACCUAAUUUUUCUGGUGCUUUUCCCUCCCUUCCCAAGAAACCCCAAGGAGGCAAGAACUCGAGGCCUCUCUCUGUAGGGUCACUAGGCAGGACGAGUUCUGCUCCUGCAUCUCUCCAACUGUGUGCCCGUGAGCUAGGCGUAGACCGCCCUGGGGGACCAACUAAUACAACUCGUCCCCACCCCCCAUUUUUCAGGUGAGAAAACUGGGGAAGGAAGUGACUGCGUAAGGUGGCAGGCCUAGUGGGCGGAUGCCCCCUCAUCACAGCAUGAGGACCGAAGACGCAGUGGACAGCAGCAGGGGCUCACCCACCCUGCUCCCUUGCAGCUGGCAUGGACACUAAGCAACAAGCAUCCUCACAAAAGAAUACACUAUCCCACAUAUUUCAAAAGCUUGCCUGCUGCCACUUCACUGUUACAGAGGCCCUACAUCAGCACGUUCCUUUUUGCGCCAACCAAAAGAAAUCCCAAGAAGAUUUUCGCUUUCGUCAGGACAGGUGAAAACUGAAAGCAGCGUUCAGCCUGUUUUGCAGCCAGCGUCCUAGGGCCUGCACACACCCUGAAUGGUGGCAGUGGCGCCACCAAGCUCCUGACCCCGGAACUAUGCCCAGCGUCAAGUUGCCAUAGGCCUGUGAGCAUCUGUGCUUCACGGCGAUGUAUCUUGUGUAUGCCUGCGUUUACCGUGUGUUACUUUAGGUUUUGUGUGCUAGUCAGUAUGAUUUGGUAGGUUCGGGGGCCUGGGAGCACUCAAAAUAUUUUCCAUAUAAAUGAAUGGUAAUAGUUUUGUGCUCUGCGCCAUUUUGGCUUAUGAUAGGAGGAACAUUUGAAUUUCUUGAACAGUGGGAGGAACCCGCACCUGGCUUCCACCUGCCAGCCCCGUCUGCCCCCCAAGGGCUGCCCCGGGGCGCUGUCGGCAGUGCUUGCAGCAGGCUGGGGCAGGGACGGUAUGCCCCUCCUACCUGCCCUGCAAGGUGCCUGGAGCGGAGGGAGAGCGCAGGACCGGCCUCACACCCUGUGGCACGCCUCCCCAGGCACCACAGUGAUUCCAGUGCACCCAUACACAGGAGGCGCUUAAGAAUGCGGCCCAGAAAAAUGGCCGUGUCCUGGCCCCGAGGCCUUGGGAAGGAGCCCACGCAGAUCUGGUUCAGGCAGCGACAAGUCCAUGGGCAACAGGCUGAGGUUCCCGAAGGCGGGACGCCGUUCUUGGGCACUGAAGGAGAUGGCUGCCAGCGAAGGGUCCAGAGUGUCUCCUCCCCUUCUCUGAAUGUGGCGCCUUCUGAAGAGGCAGGUCUCUGGGUACCAGAUGCAUAGACCUCGGUGUUCUGCCCCUUGGCCCCACCAUGUCCCCCACCUUUCAAAUGGAAUCUUUUUUUUAAAGAUUAUUUGUUGAAACAA